AUACUUACCUGUUAGGGAAGAUAUCAUGAUCACAAAGGUGGUUUUUGCAGGGUGAGACUUAUUUAUCGCAUUCCAGAUAUGCUGACUCCUGUGAUUUCCUCAAAUGUGGGAAACUCAGCUCAAUAAUUUUGUGGUAGUGGGGGACUGUGUUCGCCCUCUACCCCA